rnacentral:rRNA from 1 species
AUGAAUGAGAAAUGGUUCAAUCUGACACAAGAGGAGAACGGCUACUUGCUGCUUUCCGAAGAACCUGAUCCCUUACGCACAUUGCAUCAUAAGGAUAACAUCGUGAAGGUGACGUUUCUUGCGGCCGUGGCUAAACCAAGAUAUGGCAAUGUUGGUGUCGUCACGUUUGAUGGAAAGAUAGGCAUUUGGGCCUUUGUCACAGAGUCUCCGGCUCAAAGGAGUGAAAAUAGAGAAAGAGGGACACUUGAACUCAAAUCAUUGAAAGUUACAAGAGAUGUAAUG